rnacentral:RNase_P_RNA from 1 species
GCCGGAACGGCGUUGCAAUACCGGCGUCGAUGGAAAGUGCCACAGAAACAAACCGCCCCGCUGGCCCCGUAAGGGACUUCGUGGCAAGGGUGAAAAGGCGGUGCAAGAGACCACCGGCGCGGUCGAGAGGCCGCGCGUCCAGGCAAACCCCGCCCGGAGCAAGAUCAAAUAGGGGGACGAGGCGUGGCCCGCGCCGCUUGCCCGCAAGGGCAAUGAGUCCCCGGGUUGAUUGCUUAGAUGAAUGACUUCACUCCGCGAAAGCGGAACACAGAAUCUGGCUUAUGAAUCCCCUGCGGAA